UACGUAGGGUGCAAGCGUUAAUCGGAAUUACUGGGCGUAAAGCGUGCGCAGGCGGUGAUGUAAGACAGGUGUGAAAUCCCCGGGCUUAACCUGGGAACUGCAUUUGUGACUGCAUCGCUGGAGUGCGGCAGAGGGGGAUGGAAUUCCGCGUGUAGCAGUGAAAUGCGUAGAUAUGCGGAGGAACACCGAUGGCGAAGGCAAUCCCCUGGGCCUGCACUGGACGCUGAGGUGCGAAAGCGUGGGGAGCAAACAGG
rnacentral:rRNA from 1 species